CAGUAGCCGCGGGAAUACGGAGGGUGCAAGCGUUAUCCGGAUUUAUUGGGUUUAAAGGGUCCGUAGGCGGAUCUGUAAGUCAGUGGUGAAAUCUCACAGCUUAACUGUGAAACUGCCAUUGAUACUGCAGGUCUUGAGUAAAUUUGAAGUGGCUGGAAUAAGUAGUGUAGCGGUGAAAUGCAUAGAUAUUACUUAGAACACCAAUUGCGAAGGCAGGUCACUAAGAUUUAACUGACGCUGAUGGACGAAAGCGUGGGGAGCGAACAGGAUUAGAUACCCCCGUAGUCCCUGUCUCUUAUAA
rnacentral:rRNA from 1 species